rnacentral:rRNA from 1 species
CGAACGGGUGAGUAACACGUGAGUAAUCUGCCCCUGGCUUCGGGAUAGCCACCGGAAACGGUGAUUAAUACCGGAUAUGACAUGGACUCGCAUGGGUUUGUGUGGAAAGUUUUUCGGCCAGGAAUGUGCUCGCGGCCUAUCAGCUUGAUGGUGAGGUAAUGGCUCACCAUGGCUUCGACGGGUAGCCGGCCUGAGAGGGUGACCGGCCACACUGGGACUGAGACACGGCCCAGACUCCUACGGGAGGCAGCAGUGGGGAAUAUUGGACAAUGGGCGGAAGCCUGAUCCAGCAACGCCGCGUGAGGGAUGACGGCCUUCGGGUUGUAAACCUCUUUCAGUACCGACGAAGCGCAAGUGACGGUAGGUACAGAAGAAGCACCGGCCAACUACGUGCCAGCAGCCGCGGUAAUACGUAGGGUGCGAGCGUUGUCCGGAAUUAUUGGGCGUAAAGGGCUCGUAGGCGGUUUGUCGCGUCGGGAGUGAAAACGCCGUGCUUAACACGGCGCUUGCUUCCGAUACGGGCAGACUAGAGGUAUUCAGGGGAGAACGGAAUUCCUGGUGUAGCGGUGAAAUGCGCAGAUAUCAGGAGGAACACCGGUGGCGAAGGCGGUUCUCUGGGAAUGACCUGACGCUGAGGAGCGAAAGUGUGGGGAGCGAACAGGAUUAGAUACCCUGGUAGUCCACACCGUAAACGUUGGG